AUUGGCAUACAGUCCUGCAAUGAGCUAUGCUAUGUGAAGAGUUCCCUUGAAGGUAACUGGUUUACAGACACACUGAAUUGAGCCGUGUCAGGCAGCCUGGCUAGGCUCCGCGUUCCCCUGACCCUCCCACUCAGCAGGGACUCCAGAUUGCCUCAUCCAGGGGGGCAGAAAAGAAUUGCCCUGGCUUUGCCCCCCGCAACAACUGCCUCUGCCUCAUUCAGAGCCCUGGACUUGGGCUGGGGAUGAAACAGGGCUAUGUCGAGAAGGAACCUGUUUUAAGAACCCUGCCACAUUUGUUACAAAUGCUGGAAGGGCAGGAGAUCAUGUCAAAUGCUGCAUAGGGCAGGAGAUCACAUCGGCAAAUCAUGUCAACAGAUUGAACUUGGACUGCAAGUUUUUCUAUCUGUUAUGUAAUUGUUCUCACAUUGUGGCUUACUACCUGUAAUUUAACUUAUAACUUGAGUGACAUCUUUAUCUAGAUUCAAAGAAAUUUUAAACCUUGAAAAGAGAAACAGAGCCAGCAGAAACUUUCUGUACAUUUCCCACACCACUCACUAUCAAUCACAUUAUAAACACCAAGGAAAACCCUUCAAGAUUAGUACUCAGCUGAUCUAAAAACCACACGGUGCUAGUUGUGAAUGGAAAUUCACUGACAUUUUCUUUUCAUAGUUCCCCUAAAUUCCUGAAGAAUAAGAUGAUAUGCUCGGUAUUUUUCCAGAAAUAGAGGUUAAAAAAUAUGUCAGACAAUCUAGAAAUGAACAAAUAUAUACCCAGAGAAAGGGUAUUUCAUGUGCCUCCCAGUUUCAUUAUCAGUGACUGCCUGAGAUGACUAAGGCUUCCAGCAGCUAUUUCUUGACAAAGGACAGGUAAAUGUGCCAUUAUUUUGGCACAGUUCAGUAUAGCCUCAAAUGUUUAGCAGUGUAUGUAAACUUCUGAACCCAACUGAAAUGUUUUUCAUUUUUAAAUGUUCCUGGCUUUGUGUCAUUAGAUUAUCAGUAUGUGACUAUCACCUUCGUGCACAAGCCAGAAGGGAUACCACCACCAUGAAUUAAAAAGUAACUGCCAUGAAUAGGUGACGAAUUGUGAACUUCUGGCUGCCUAUUUUACACAAGUUAUCCUCUAAAUUGCACACAAAA